rnacentral:rRNA from 1 species
UCUUCGGAGAGUUUGAUCCUGGCUCAGGAUGAACGCUGGCGGCGUGCCUAAUACAUGCAAGUCGAGCGAACUGAUUAGAAGCUUGCUUCUAAGACGUUAGCGGCGGACGGGUGAGUAACAC